rnacentral:rRNA from 1 species
CCUACGGGCGGCAGCAGUGAGGAAUAUUGGUCAAUGGACGAGAGUCUGAACCAGCCAAGUAGCGUGAAGGAUGACUGCCCUAUGGGUUGUAAACUUCUUUUAUAUGGGAAUAAAAUGUUCCACGUGUGGGAUGUUGUAUGUACCAGAUGAAUAAGGAUCGGCUAACUCCGUGCCAGCAGCCGCGGUAAUACGGAGGAUCCGAGCGUUAUCCGGAUUUAUUGGGUUUAAAGGGAGCGUAGGUGGAUUGUUAAGUCAGUUGUGAAAGUUUGCGGCUCAACCGUAAAAUUGCAGUUGAAACUGGCAGUCUUGAGUACAGUAGAGGUAGGCGGAAUUCGUGGUGUAGCGGUGAAAGGCUUAGAUAUCACGAAGAACUCCGAUUGCGAAGGCAGCUCACUGGACUGCAACUGACACUGAGGCUCGAAAGUGUGGGUAUCAAACAGGAUUAGAUACCCCAGUAGUC